GACAGAGGAUGCAAGCGUUAUCCGGAAUCAUUGGGCGUAAAGCGCGCGUAGGUGGCUUCGUAAGUCCGUUGUGAAAGUCAAAGGCUCAACCUUUGAAUGUCAGCGGAUACUGCCGGGCUAGAGUCCGGAAGAGGCGAGUGGAACUCCUGGUGUAGCGGUGGAAUGCGCAGAUAUCAGGAAGAACACCAACGGCGAAGGCAGCUCGCUGGGACGGAACUGACGCUGAGGCGCGAAAGCGUGGGGAGCGAACAGG
rnacentral:rRNA from 1 species